UUCGUUUUUAUAUUUUAUUGUUUGUAUGUUGUAAGGUCAACUUUAUUUAUUUUAUGUUGAUAUCGCAUUUCAUAUCAUUUUUAUACUUUCAUAUUCAUCAUAGUUUUACCAUGCAUAAAAAAUGUAAUUUGCUUUCACUAUGAUUUUGUGUUUAAUUUUACUUGAUAUAAUAACAUCUUUUUUUAAAGUGGCAUUUCGUGUUUGGAUUCAAGAAAAUCAUGCCCUAACUUACUGGGUUUCGAUUUUCUCGAUAAAUCUAAAUACACGAAUCUUUUCAAAAUCAAGCUUUGAAUGAUCUCGAAAUUAAAAGAGGGUCGCAUCCUAACUUACUGGUUGUGAUCUCAUUUUUAAAUUCGAGACGGCUAAAAUGUCUUAAACAAACUUUUUCAUUCGCGUAUCGGGAAUUCGAGAUAUUGUAUUCUAACUUACUGGAUAUGAUUCUCUUUCUCGAUUAACGUGAAAUAUACUUCUUUUUCCAAAACUUUAAUGCUAGGAUCGCAUUUUUUUCUUGCAAGUUCUCAAUUUUCGACAUCAAGACAUUAGAUAAUCAACUAGGUACCAAUUUCUGGGCGUUACGAGGGUGCUAACCCUUCCUCGUAUGUAACCGACUCCCGAACCCGUUUCCUAAAUUUCGUAGACCAAAACCGUUGUUUUAAUAAGAUCAAAUUAUUUAUUAAAAACAACCUCUUUCCAAGGUGACCCAAUCACACCCCAAAAAGGAUUGGUGGCGACUCCCGUUUUUUUCGUUUUCAUCAAAACCCAAGUCGACCCCGUUUUUCAUCCAAAAA
rnacentral:lncRNA from 1 species